UGAUUGUCCAAACGCAAUUCUUGUAACAUAUAAUAUAAAUCCAAGAAUUGUGCCUGGACAUCUGU
rnacentral:pre_miRNA from 2 species